AUUGAACGCUGGCGGCAGGCUUAACACAUGCAAGUCGAGCGGGGGGAGGUACUUCGGUACUGAACCUAGCGGCGAACGGGUGAGUAAUACUUAGGAAUCUGCCUAUUAAUGGGGGACAACAUUUCGAAAGGAAUGCUAAUACCGCAUACGCCCUACGGGGGAAAGCAGGGGAUCUUCGGACCUUGCGUUAAUAGAUGAGCCUAAGUCGGAUUAGCUAGUUGGUGGGGUAAAGGCCUACCAAGGCGACGAUCUGUAGCGGGUCUGAGAGGAUGAUCCGCCACACUGGGACUGAGACACGGCCCAGACUCCUACGGGAGGCAGCAGUGGGGAAUAUUGGACAAUGGGGGGAACCCUGAUCCAGCCAUGCCGCGUGUGUGUAGAAGGCCUUUUGGUUGUAAAGCACUUUAAGCGAGGAGGAGGCUCUUCUAGUUAAUACCUAGGAUGAGUGGACGUUACUCGCAGAAAAAGCACCGGCUAACUCUGUGCCAGCCGCCGCCGUAACAC
rnacentral:rRNA from 1 species